rnacentral:tRNA from 1 species
GGAUGUAGUUCAAUUGGUAGAGCAGCGGUCUCCAAAACCGCGUGUUGGGGGUUCGAGUCCCUCCGUCCC